ensembl:lncRNA
UUUCAACUUCAGUCAUUUAUCAUCAGUCACUACUUAAUUACCAUUUAAGAAUAAUGAGUUCCCAGAGAUGUUACAUGGUAAUUUGAUGAAAAAAAAGGCGCAGUGUAACUGUUAUGACAGCUGUCGGAUCCUCUUCCCACUGGUGAUUUAUACUAUACUUCAAAUAGAAACUCCCCUAUAGCUGUGUAUCCCUAUGUAACUAAACAACCAUUCAUAUAUAACCCCACAUAUAAUCCCACAUAUAACCCCACAUAUAAUCCCACAUAUAACCCCACAUAUAAUCCCACAUAUAAUCCCACAUAUAACCCCACAUAUAAUCCCACAUAUAACCACACAUAUAAUCCCACAUAUAAUCCCACAUAUAACCCCACAUAUAACCCCACAUAUAACCCCACAUAUAACCCCACAUAUAAUCCCACAUAUAACCCCACAUAUAAUCCCACAUAUAACCCCACAUAUAAUCCCACAUAUAACCCAU